UUCGUAUUGAUCAUCUCAUAACGUUGGGCGGAAAAAGACCAAAGCGUCUCAACUACACAUAUAUGAUCUUUCUUUUUUGGAUCUAUCAGAAAUUCACCAUAAACUUGAGGUAAGGAGGAAGAACAAGAAGGAGAAAUAAUAAUAAUAAACAAGGGAAUAUAAGAAGGCUAAAUAUAAGCCUAUGCUGACAGGCGAAUUUUCACAUGCAUCAAAAGUUGCCUCAAAACAGAUCCAACAAACCAAAUCACAACCACAACCGAGAAAAAGAGAGCGAGGCCAGACGGCUAUCCUAUCAGGCAGUACUACAUGAAGCAACUAUUGGACUGGAGCGAAGGGAAGCAGACGGCCGGGGUGAUGCGAUGGAUGGAUCGAUCAGCGCUUGAUGGCCUUGACCUUGUUCCACGUCUUCUUGCCGAAGUCGCCGACGACCCUGACGCCCUUGAGCACCGCCACCUUCACCUCCAUGGUCCGCUCCUUCACCUGCCGCUGGAACCCUCCCAUCUCUCUUCUCUUCCCUUCUCUUCUCUUCUCUUCUUGGUCGGAGAGGAUUCGUGUGGCUCGCUGGAGGAGACAAAGAAGACGAUGGUGAUUGGCGAUUUGCCGGGUUGGGUGGCGAAAAUGUCGUGCGGAUGGUGGUGGGCUAGCACUGGGGAUAUAUAGCCGGUGCGGGUUUGCGUGUAGACCUGAACCAGAUGGCGGAGGCUGAGCUGUAAAGUAUGGGGUGUGGUGUACCUGCGGGCUGCGGCGGCGGUUGAAGGAUGGAUUGCCAGGGAACCAGCUUGAAUCACAAGUCACACACACAAAAAAAAAGCCACAAACAGAAGGAGCGUAGUAGCAGUUGGGGUGGGGAGAGGAUCUGUGGGCCUGGUGCACGGGUACAGCUCACAGGGUCCAGCUGUCAACGGG
rnacentral:rRNA from 1 species